UCUCCCCCGCCUUCUCCUUCUCCCAAUGAGCCCAACUGGGCGCUGGGAGCUGCCGCCGCUCUGCCCGCUGCCUGACUCUGUCCGCCCCGCCAUUGGCUUGAAAUCCACAGGAUUUCAGCCCAUGGCUUUCCCCUGCGACCUGCCUUGUUUAUUUAGAUAGAGAAGAUGAAAGAUGCUGGAUAGAAGGAUGGGAACAAUUAGAGAACUGAAGAGUGAGGACGCCCGUUUGGGGACCGGUUCGGUAUUGUACCCAGACCACACAUUCCGGCUGGGAAGGAACACAGUAAUGUAUAAAGCAUUAGUGGAUUGAACACUCCGCGCUGUGUUUGGGGAAUCGAAUUGUUGAUGUUUCUGGCAAAAAACUCAUACUCCGAUUGAAAUCUAUCAAACACCUUAAUUAGCUCUGGGUACCUAAGCGUGCCCAACCCAGAGGCAGGUUGCAAGGCAUGAGAGGGGACGGGCAGGGGCUGCACAGAGAUGCCAGGGCCUCCCUCGCCCCCCCACCCCUGGCCCACGACCUCAGUUUCCGGACCAGGACGCCUGGGCCGUGGUGGGAAGUCGGUCCACCCUGGCUCUCGCCCUGGCAACCGCAGGGAUGUGAUGGAGGGUGUUUGGAUGGCUUGCAGGAUGUUGGCGAACCGGAUGGGAAGAGAGCACAGUGACACAAAGCUGUUGCCGACGGUAACUGGAGUCUUUUCCUCAGCCAACCAUUCCACCUGGACCUCAGUACAAAUUAUUGUUUUCAAUUACCACCUGUGUAUUCCUUCCCAUGCAACUUAUUGAUGUAAAAUUACAGCUAUACCGGUAUAAAUAAGUUAUGCUGCAGUUGUAAAAUGGAAGAAAUUUUGUUGUAGCAAUUAUGUUCAGCAAGAUGACAAAAUAAAUUUCCAGAGCUGUGCCUGCAGUAACCUGGGGAAUUUAAA